rnacentral:rRNA from 1 species
UACGGAGGGAGCUAGCGUUGUUCGGAAUUACUGGGCGUAAAGCGCACGUAGGCGGCUUUGUGAGUUAGAGGUGAAAGCCUGGAGCUCAACUCCAGAACUGCCUUUGAUACUGCAUGGCUUGAAUCCAGGAGAGGUGAGUGGAAUUCCGAGUGUAGAGGUGAAAUUCGUAGAUAUUCGGAAGAACACCAGUGGCGAAGGCGGCUCACUGGACUAGUACUGACGCUGAUGUGCGAAAGCGUGGGGAGCAAACAGG